CACAGAGCCCCCACCUCCAACAGCCAGAGGCGGGAAAACGGAAACAAAGGUCCUACCUAGCUUGCCAGAAGCGGGAAAGUGAAAACAAGGGGCCCUAUCCUGCCCGAGGCCGGAAAGCGGAAACAAAGGGCCCUAGGAGCCCCAGGACAUCAUUCUGACACAGUCCCUCAGGAGGAGAAUAAAAUAAAUGGAAGAACAGAUUUGAGAAGAUCGAAAAGGCCAGUAUCGACUAGUACCUACAAAGUUUGAAGUCCUUACUCUCCAGCUCAACUAUUACAGGAGUGCUAUUGAUAGGACCUUUCAUAAUGUAACCAAUAGAAGAACAAGAAAUAGGCUUAUGGAUUCUCCAGGACCUUCUGUGCAUUGCCUCACAUGAUCAUCAUCGUGGAGCAUGAUAUAAUGGAAAGAACCCGUCACCUGAGAGUCAGAAGGCCUUUGUUCCAUCCUGGAGCUGACAUAAACUUUCUAAGAAAACUUAAGGAGUUACUUUACCUCCCUAUGCCUCAGGCAAAUUAGAGAAUAUUCUGAACCAAGGCUAGAAAUCUUUUACUGCCCUCCAUACUGAGAUCUCAAGAGUUAAAAAUCACACUGAUCUCCCAGACAAUUGAGUCAGAAGAAUCUUCUGCUUCUUCCAAGGAAAAUAAAUGACAGAAUCUCUAACUCAGUUUAUCGAAUGAUCUUCCCAAAUAUUUGGAGAAAAAUGAAUUGAGCAGCUACGAGUUUCAGACACAGGGAAAACCUCUGAAGUGUAUGAGACAGAAACCUGGCUUCACAUUUCAGCAUCACUAAUUUAAUUGACCUUAAACAAUUUACUUAAUUUUUCUGAAUUUCAGAGCAAAGAUAAUUAGAUCUAACAAUAAUAUAUAGUAUGUGCUUAUUGAAUAUUGAAUAGACAAACAAGAUUUAUUACUACUACUUUUUCUAUCAACUUUAAUUUUAAUGGAGCCUAUUUUUUGCUAAAAGUUAAUCUUAAUGGAAACAAUUAUGUUUUUCUACAUUUAAAAUAUUUCCCAGAGCAUGUUUCCUGGGCCAUUGGGUCCAUGUAAUGCUACUGGAGGAAAAAAGAGAAACAAUAGUAAAUGAUGAAACAAUGUAUGCUGAACAGUGUGAGAAGACUCACAAUGAGCAUUAUCAUAACAAAGGCUCUGACAUAUCUCACAUAAACGAAAAUGCUCCCGGUUUUUCUAAAAUUAUGUUGGACAAGCUGAGGGAAAUGUGGUUUUAACAUUUUAAAUAUCUGAAGUCUAACAGAAAUGUGUCUGUAAGCACCAGAACUAAAAAGAGACAUAAAAAUAUCUACAAGAAAGAAUAUUAUCACUACAGUUAAAAAAAAAAAAGGAAAAGAAGUAGCUUUGGUUUGCUUUCAUUGUAGCAGAUGAUCACUCUUAUUUCCAUUCAGCAAUAUUAUUAAUAUCACAGAUGACAUUAAAAGUAAUAUAUUACUGAAGAAAAAAUAAGUUGUUGUUGCUGUUAUGUAAACUAGGUGAUACUUUGCAACACAGUAUGGUCCAAUCUUACUGUAGACAACGUCUUGAGAAUCGGGCACUAUGGAGUGAACGAGGGAGGGCAAAGAUCUCCACGUCCAACAGUGAAACCAGGGAGAAAACUGUAAAGAUAUUUUUGACUACAUUAUCAUCAUGCUUUAGAGAUUAAUGAAUAAGAAUGCUAGCAGAAAUAUAGAAAAAUAAAAUCUCAGUUUCAUAAUAGAGGAGUAAGGCUGGUGAACACUUCAAGAGUGGUCAGAAGGAGUUGAAAGGUAACAUUAAGGAAAAAGAAAUAGUCCUAGUUUAUGAUGUCCAGAGCUGUCCUCUGGGGUGCAAUUAAUCAAUGUGUGUCUUCAACUACUUGAGAUAGGCAUGACACGUGAAUGUAGAAACUUAGAACAAAAAGCAUUGACUUAGCUCAUGCUAGAAUAAAUUUAAUUCCCACCUCAUUCCCUGUGAUGGCCCCAGGAAAAAUGAGGAGACUCUGCUUCUCUCUUCAUUUACACUUUGGGCUUCUUGCUGCCUGAAGGGAAGUGUCCAGGUGAAGUAAAAUUAGCAAUAAGCAGUGAUCGCUGGAGUGAUCGUCUAGAGGUUUUUAAGCUUCCAGGGCCACACUUUUCCAUCUGGCAAAAGAGGAUUAAAUGUUUCUUUUAAACAAUUUGUAAACUCACAGCUACAAAACAUAUGGCAUUAUUCCAAGUUUGACAUACUUCAACGUUUGACUUAACUAUUCCCACCCAUUGAUUUGGGCUUUCUUGGGAUAUUGCUUACAUCUUUUCGAAACCAAUCUGCUAAGACCCGAGACAAAAUAUAUUGGAUUGAAUAUAAAUUACACAGAACGUAGAUUUUUUUGUUUGAAGAAAUGGAGCUUUAGAGAGACGAAGUAUCAUUCCUAACUGAGUGGUUCAUCUAGUACAUGAUGACUUGAAGCUUAGGUCUUCUGAUGUUGCAGCUUAUGUGCUUUCCAUUGUACCACUGCUUAAGUAGGAGUCAAUAUUGAUCAAUACCAGUAAGUUAGGUGAAGCCCUUUGGACAGCAUGUUAUGGAAGAGAUAGGUUGGUAUGUUAGUGUAGACCUGAAGGAAAUGAAAGUGAAGCUGGGCCUGCAAGGAUGAUAUGCCAUAGGGAAGAGAAAAGAAGAUAUUUAUUGAAAUUAAUAGACCUUUAACAUAGGAAUGUCUUAAGAGAUUACCUUCACAGCAUUUGUCUUGAGGAGUGGUAGAAAAUCAUGUUAAAGAAUUAGGAGUAUUAGUAGUUAGCCCUUGCUAUAUGUCAGGUAUUAUAUGUGUAUUAUUUCAUUUAAUCCUCUCAAUAACCCUUGAGGGAGGAAUUAUAUUUUGAUCUUACUUGCAAGGAAACAGAUUCAGAGAGGCUCAAUAUCAUACUGGGAAAGACUUUCCUGAAACAAAUACCUAACUCUACUGUGCACUUGAAGCUGUUCUAAUCUCUUUACAAAUACUAAUUUAACCUUUGUAGCAGAGUUAUGAGAUAGGUAUUAUGAUUUUCAGUUUACAGGGGCAUAUCUAUCAGGCAGUAGAGUAAGAGUCUAAGUGUCUAGCCACUAUGCCAUGCUGCCUGGUAAGGAGUGGAGCUGAAAUUCACAUUGGCCGCAGUCUGAUCCCAGUGCAGAUGCUCCUAAAAACUAAGCAUUUUUUCC